AACGAACGCUGGCGGCAUGCCUAACACAUGCAAGUCGAACGAGACCGUCGGGUCUAGUUGCGCACGGGUGCGUAACGCGUGGGAACCUGCCCUUAGGUUCGGAAGAACUCCCCGAAAGGGGUGCUAAUACCGGAUAAUGUCUGCGGACCAAAGAUUUAUCGCCUUUGGAUGGGCCCGCGUUGGAUUAGCUAGUUGGUAGGGUAAAAGCCUACCAAGGCGACGAUCCAUAGCUGGUCUGAGAGGAUGAUCAGCCACACUGGGACUGAGACACGGCCCAGACUCCUACGGGAGGCAGCAGUGGGGAAUAUUGGAAAAUGGGCGAAAGCCUGAUCCAGCAAUGCCGCGUGAGUGAUGAAGGCCUUAGGGUUGUAAAGCUCUUUUACCCGGGAUGAUAAUGACAGUACCGGGAGAAUAAGCUCCGGCUAACUACGAG
rnacentral:rRNA from 1 species